UACGAAGGGGGCUAGCGUUGUUCGGAAUCACUGGGCGUAAAGGGCGCGUAGGCGGCUUUGUAAGUCGGGGGUGAAAGCCUGUGGCUCAACCACAGAAUUGCCUUCGAUACUGCAUGGCUUGAGACCGGAAGAGGUAAGUGGAGCUGCGAGUGUAGAGGUGAAAUUCGUAGAUAUUCGCAAGAACACCAGUGGCGAAGGCGGCUCACUGGCCCGAAACUGACGCUGAGGCACGAAAGCGUGGGGAGCAAACAGG
rnacentral:rRNA from 1 species